GCCCUCCUCUCGCCAGCUGCAAUCCAGCAAUCAUGGUCAGGAUUAACCCUGCUUUUGAGCACGAGGAGCCCCUAACAGGCUUCUGCCGCAGGGCUCGGGGCGCAGGUGCCCGUGUCACCUCCCCGGGGCCCCCCAGUCACCAGGCGGUUCCUGACCUGGAGAACACCACCCAACAUGGAGGUCACCAGAGCAGUUCACAAAGCCAGGACUGACGAGUUAAGUCUCCGAAACUCUUCAUUUCCAGCAUCAGCCAGACAAAACCAAGGUACUCAGAAAAGAAGAAGGCCUGCGUUAUUCCAGACUGGACUUCAGGUGGAUUAUGCAUAGGAAAAUAAUUCAAGAUGUAACAUAGCUCUAAAAUCAAUGCACGUAAAAAAAUAUCAUUUUAUUAAAGAAGAACAAGGUGACCAAGUUGACCAACUACUGGACCACGUCUAAGAUUUGCCUGGUAAGAAGCCACCAGCAUUAAGCACCCAGUGCUGACCUAUUAUCUUAACUCUUACUUUUAUUGAGGAGCUGAGUGCUCGGCACAGAUUUUGCUGAGAAGUAACAUUUUUCAAUACAGUAAAAAAUGUCAAUGCUGAGUUUCUCCACCCUUUGCUGAGGCUCCCUCACGCCGGCUGCUGGGGGGGCAAACCCAGGACAAGGAGCCACCACUGACACAGAAGGUGGGAUUUAACUUUUUUAAUGGUUUCUAUAACACCAGAUUCCUAUUUUUCUGUUAAGAAAGCCGUGAUGGACACACAGGCACACCCCCCCUGCGCUGCUGCACCUCUGCUGGGGGUGACACCCCCAACCCCCCCCAGCAUCCACACCUCACGCUGAGCCACUAAAUCUGUGGAUUCACCUUUUUGGACCAGAUUUAUGUUCCCAGCUCCCCACCCCCAGCAGCGAGGAGG